AUGGCGGCGACUCACCACGGCUACAAUGUCCUCAAGAUGCUAGGAAGUGGCGGCAUCAUCACAGUCGCUUGCGACGAGAAGGACGCGACGUGCUUCCUCGAGCGCGCCUACCAGGCUGCAGCGGCCGAGAACUCAGACGAUGAGGGUGCCAUCCGUCCUCCUGAGGCCGUCCCCAAGAAGAAGCAUCUCCUCCUCAAGGACCGUCAGGAGCCUGGGGUGUCCGACGAUCGUGCCUCAGGUCCCACGCCCACUGCUAGGGCGCCUUUCUUUCGCAUAGAAAGGCGCGUUCGGCGCCCCUCUCAGGACGGGCUCGGGGGCUCUCGUCUGGAGGGCCUCUGA
rnacentral:rRNA from 1 species